rnacentral:lncRNA from 10 species
GGAAGAUCAGACACUGAUGUCCCGCAUCUGAUAUGUAUAUAACACAAUUCUCAAUUAUCCUUUGAUUGUGUUUUACUCCCUUCUGUACAAUAGACUCAUUUUUAAAGCAAAAGUUGAAGAAAGUGAACAAAAACAGCAGUGGAAAGUUCAUAAAAGACAAAUGAAGAAUUCAGAGCCCAAUCCUAACCUCAAGCCAAGAAGUAAGAAAAGGAAGAAAAAAUCAAGAAACUCAGAACAGAACCCCAGCAACAUUGAACCAAGGAGCAUGGACUCUCAGGCUGUUCAUAGAUUUCAGGAUCUUUUCCACUACUUCCACAGGCAGAUAGAGGGCCAUCCCCACCACCGUCUCUACCACCACCGUCUCUUCCCAGAGGAGUUUUUACUCUUCCUCCAACUCCUUUACCUGAGCUAAGUGGUAAACCAUCAUCAUCACCAUCACCUUUGGAGACCUCCUCUACCACCACCUUUGUUGAGAGACCUACUCUCCAGGAUCCCC